rnacentral:rRNA from 1 species
CCCUUAGAUGUUCUGGGCCGCACGCGUGCUACACUGAGUGGAUCAGCGGGUCAGGUUGCGCGAAAGUGUUUCCUAAUCUUGAAAUCCGCUCGUGAUGGGGAUUGACGGUUGCAAUUUUCCGUCAUGAACGAGGAAUACCUUGUAAGCGCGGGUCAUCAUCCCGCGCUGAAUACGUCCCUGCCCUUUGUACACACCGCCCGUCGCUCCUACCGAUUGAGUGGUCCGGUGAGGCUUUGGGAUCUGAGCAAAGCGAGCGUUUCGCUCGUUUUGCCCGGAAAACUCAGUCGAACCUUAUCAUUUAGAGGAAGGAGAAGUCGUAACA